GGUGGUGGUGGAGAAAAACCCGAGAAUUGCGCAUGCGUAUUGCCCAGUCGGCGUCUGACCUCGGAGGAUUCCGUAGAGGGUGGGAGAAGAUGGCGGCGGCAAUACUGGAACGUUCAGGUGCGUUAUGGUUGCAGAAUCUGAGGGGGAAGCUGGCGUUGGGGUUUCUUUCAGCUCACAACAUUUUACCCCAAUCACAUAUCCACACAAGUACGUCUCUUGAAAUAUCUCGAAAAUGGGAGAAGAAGAAUAAAAUUGUUUAUCCUCCACAAUUGCCUGGAGAACCUCGGAGACCAGCUGAAAUCUACCAUUGUCGAAGACAGAUAAAGUACAGCAAAGACAAGAUGUGGUAUUUGGCAAAAUUGAUACGAGGAAUGUCCAUUGACCAGGCUCUGGCUCAAUUGGAAUUCAGUGACAAAAAAGGGGCCCAAAUAAUUAAAGAGGUUCUCUUAGAAGCACAAGAUAUGGCAGUGAGAGACCACAAUGUGGAAUUCAGAUCCAAUUUGUAUGUAGGAAAAAGAGGUGUGUACUGCAAGAAGAUGAAGUAUCUGACCAUGACAUUCAGGCAUCUUAUCCCCGUAUUUGCCAAACUUCUCUGAUAAGAAUCACUUGAGGUUCUUAUUGAAAAUACAGAUUCCCAGGCCUCACCACAGACUCACUGGAUCUGAAACCCCAGGAGAGAGGCCUGGCGGAGUCCACUUCAGGGCGCGGCCAGUACCUGAAACGCAUCCGAUACCAUGGCAGAGGUCGUUUUGGGAUUAUGGAGAAGGUUUUUUGCCAUUAUUUUGUGAAGUUGGUGGAAGGCCCCCCACCUCCACCGGAGGCACC